rnacentral:rRNA from 1 species
GACGAACGCUGGCGGCGUGCUUAACACAUGCAAGUCGAACGGAAAGGCCCUGCUUUUGUGGGGUGCUCGAGUGGCGAACGGGUGAGUGACACGUGAGUAACCUGCCCUUGACUUUGGGAUAACUUCAGGAAACUGGGGCUAAUACCGGAUAGGAGCUCCUGCUGCAUGGUGGGGGUUGGAAAGUUUCGGCGGUUGGGGAUGGACUCGCGGCUUAUCAGCUUGUUGGUGGGGUAGUGGCUUACCAAGGCUUUGACGGGUAGCCGGCCUGAGAGGGUGACCGGCCCCAUUGGGACUGAGAUACGGCCCAGACUCCUACGGGAGGCAGCAGUGGGGAAUAUUGCACAAUGGGCGGAAGCCUGAUGCAGCAACGCCGCGUGCGGGAUGACGGCCUUCGGGUUGUAAACCGCUUUCGCCUGUGACGAAGCGUGAGUGACGGUAAUGGGUAAAGAAGCACCGGCUAACUACGUG